GCCCUAGUAGCUUAACUCCUAAAGCGCCGGUCUUGUAAUCCGGAGAUUGAAGGUUAAAGUCCAUCCUAGUGCC
rnacentral:tRNA from 1 species